UGCGUAGGCGGAAAAUUAAGUCAGUGGUGAAAUCCUGCAGCUCAACUGUAGAACUGUCAUUGAUACUGAUUUUCUUGAAUACAGUUGAGGUAGGCGGAAUAUGUAAUGUAGCGGUGAAAUGCUUAGAUAUUACAUAGAACACCAAUUGCGAAGGCAGCUUACUAAACUGUGAUUGACGCUGAGGCACGAAAGCGUGGGGAGCGAACAGGAUUAGAUACCCUGGUAGUCC
rnacentral:rRNA from 1 species